rnacentral:rRNA from 1 species
UACGGAGGAUGCAAGCGUUAUCCGGAUUUAUUGGGUUUAAAGGGUGCGUAGGUGGAAUGAUAAGUCAGAGGUGAAAGCUAGCAGCUUAACUGUUAAAUUGCCUUUGAUACUGUUAUUCUUGAGUGUAGUUGGCGUUGGCGGAAUGUGACAUGUAGCGGUGAAAUGCGUAGAUAUGUCACAGAACACCGAUCGCGAAGGCAGCUAACGAAGCUAUCACUGACACUGAUGCACGAAAGCGUGGGGAGCAAACAGG